rnacentral:rRNA from 1 species
UACGUAGGGUGCGAGCGUUAAUCGGAAUUACUGGGCGUAAAGCGUGCGCAGGCGGUUCGUUAAGUUCGUUGUGAAAGCCCCGGGCUCAACCUGGGAACUGCAAUGGAAACUGGCGGGCUUGAGUGUGGCAGAGGGGGGUGGAAGUUCCGACGUGUAGCAGUGAAAUGCGUAGAGAUGCGGAGGAACACCGAUGGCGAAGGCAGCCCCCUGGGCCAACACUGACGCUCAGGCACGAAAGCGUGGGGAGCAAACAGG